CCUAACUUCUUCCCUUCUUUGCAUCUGCCUCUCUUCUCGACUGCUCAAGUUCCCAAUAAUCAUAAAUUUGCUAUCAGAGGAACGAGAGUAUAGGAACCCAGCGAGAAGGACUCAAGACCCAUAUUUAUAUAGAGCACUUACAUCGGAAAAAUCUACGCUACUCAUAACUGGACGCUGUAGGAGCUUGCCACAAUCAGCUCAACCGCAGCAGCGAAGCGUAUUGUCCAUUUCGUGGCGGAAUUUGCUUGUCUGCGUAGUAAUUCAGAUGUUGAUUUUGAUUGGGACGAUUUUUUAGAUAAAUUUCUCAAGUUUCUAAUUACUGGUUCUGUGGAUGUGAAUAGAAACGCUAGGUUCAGGGCGUGUCAGAUAAUUUCUGAGGUAUAAGCAUUAGGGUUCUUUCUCCUACAAAUUGUAGCAUUUAAUUUACUUGGCAAAGGUCUUUGAGGUCAAGUAUAGGAUUAUCUACAGUUCUACCACCAUUGUCUUCGUAUUUGGAGUUAAAUCAACUGUUUAAGCAUACUAAUGUUGGUAUUGAUCAUAUUCUAAUAAAUGUUAGAAAUGUGGAAUAUAAUUUACUGACCUUUGGAUUGCUUCAUUGGGUGGAAUAGGAUUUGUGGUCGUGCUUUCGUCAUGAUUGAAUAUUUUCUUGGUUGCCCAUGUUCUUCACGCGUAUGCUGAAUCAGGCUUGUUAAGUAAAGUCGUCGAGAUUUUUAAUUAUGUAGUUGAGUUUUACGGUUCUGUGGCCGAUGUUAUUGCUUGCAACUUGUUGUAGGGUUUAUAACAUAUUCUUACAUGAUGCCUUUGAUACCAGUUGAAUUAGCACAUGCAUUUCGGUAUCUAGCUUCUGUUUCUCACAAAGCUUUGUGGUGUUUGGUGAUAUUCUUGAAUUACAGAAGAAGUCCCUUGAGCUCUCUGCUGGUAAACAGAACUUUUGAGCUCGAUGAAUUUUUGGAUGCUUUCCAGUCAGGUCCAAAUGGUAGUGGAAAGACAUAUCUGGCCCACUGUAUGUGGAAGACUUGACAAACCAUCAUUGGAUAUCAAAGAAUUUGGAUUAGGGAAUGGCAUAUUUUCUUCCCCCUUACUGGCCUUAUACAUGUUUAAGGACACUGAGAGACCAAACUAUACACCCUCUAUCUAAAGAAGAAGCAGAGAAAGGGGUAGCAAAGUUGUACACCGAUGGAGAAAGCUCAACAGAAGCUGGAAGCGUUCUGGAUGCUCAUUUGAAAACCAUGUUGAGAGACUACUAAAGUAAGCUCUUCAUCUCCGAUUGGUCCAGCUCUGCAUCUCUAUUCCAGCUCAGCAACAGUCUUCUUUGCUUUCCUGAAGUGAGCUAUUAACUACAGAAGCACGAAGACGUCAAAAUAUCUACGACAAACUCAAAUCAACACAAUCUAUCACUUCAGCUCUUUUGGUCAUACGUGCACACCUCCCUUCAGGACAAGCUUGUUUAAGAAUAAACAUCGACGCCGAAAAAAUUGGGAACGUUGCUAGAUUCAUCAACCAUUCUUGUUGAAAAGUGGAGACUUGAUGAUGUACAGAAGAUGUAUGACUAAAUCUGCGAGAGAGGUGAUUGUUAUGAUAAAUACAGUACUUGAAUG